CUGCAGAUUUGUGCUUAUUUUCUUUGGGGCAGUCACUGAUUUACUAGGUUUUGGGAUAACUUUUAGAUCUUCAGUAAAAUUUUUAGCAGGCUUUUGGCAUCUUAUUGACUGAUUAUGUACCUUUUCUUUUUUAGAUGGAGAUAUCACCCAAUUUUGAGAGAGAACCUUAAUUCUAAACUCUUGAUAUCUAGGAUUUAUAUUUUCAAGAUCUUUAGGAUAAUAUUUUAUAAACC
rnacentral:lncRNA from 1 species